CUCCCUCCUUCCUUCUUUCCCUCUCUCUCUCUCAGCAGGAAGACCAGUGUCUGGAGAAGGUGAUUAACGACACUGAGGACUUAUUCAAAUCCAGGGAGAAAGAAUACCAAGAGACCAUCGAUCAGAUUGAGUAUGACUUGGCUACAGCUAAGAGUGAUAUGAACCGUCACCUACAUGAAUACAUGGAGAUGUGUUCUAUGAAGAGAGGCCUGGAUGUACAGAUGGAGACCUGCAGGAGACUCAUCACCCAGAGUGGGGACAGUAAGCCUGGCUCUCCUGUGGCUGUGGCUGGUGAGGAGAGCGUUGACCAGGCAGAGAAGGAAGGGACAACAGCGUCGCCUCCUCUCUCCAACUCUCCUCCCAGAUCAUGACCUAUCAAGACCACCUCCAUCACAUGACCUUCAUUCCAUCCAACCACAGCACCACUCAACACUCCGCUGUCACUAUAGCAACGCCAUGUUUACAUUCUAACCACUAGAUGUUUGUUAGUCUAUUUUUCAUUUUCUUCAUGCUAUCUUCAUUCACAAGGCUCAAUAUAGGAAAGUGGCAGAUCUAUCUGUUUUAGCGACGGUGUAGUGUUGUGUUUUCCAACAGCUUUUAGUCCCCUCUACUGGAAAGUGGUAUUACUAACACCAUGGAAGUCUGUACAUAAGAAUCCACUGUUUAGCAGAGCAAAGGUAACGAGGUAAUGGAUUGAAAUACACAACUUGAAUUGAGAAUACCUCAUAGAAACUUAUGAGCAAUAUUUGAAUGAACUCAUAUGAGUUGUAGGCUAGCGUGUACUCUUAAGGUAGUUGUUGGUACUACAGAGAACCAUGGUAAUAACUCUCCUAUAGCAUGAUCCAUUUCCACACAGCCAUAAUGAUAAACACACCGCACACACACCAAUACAUUCAUGUCAGGCUAGCAGAUCAUUCUAACAGUGUGGUGUCCUGUUGCUACAUCAUGAGGGUUGUUUUCAGACUCAGUCAAACUCACCUAGAAGUAUAUCACAGUAAAUAUAAGCCUUAGGGUGUGUUCGUAAAUUCACUGGAGUGCCAGAGUGUGCUC